rnacentral:tRNA from 1 species
GGUUAGAGCGCACCCCUGAUAAGGGUGAAGUCGGUGGUUCGAGUCCACUCAGGCCUA